ACUUGCCAUUUCAGCAUCUUGAAAAGAAACCAAACAAAGAGAAAUGAAAGUGCAAGACUCAGUUCCUUCCUACAAACCAAAUCGUUCUGAAAGUUCCCUUUGACUCCUAGAUUUGAAGAGACUUAGCCUGCUUCCUGCCUCCAAUUGCUCUGCUAAUUUAAUCUGCUCAGUCUCUGAAGAGUCUAAAUCAUUGGCCUUUGGGGAGAGUAAUCUGAGCGAGAGGAGGAAGUCAUAGCGCCUUUUAUGUGCUCCCCUGGGAAGUCACAUGUCACUUCUGCCAUACUUUAUUUGUUGGAGGAUCUUAAGAAGCUGAGCGGCCCAGUGGGAGGUCCCUGCAUGGAGUUGUUCCCAAGCACAAUGCACAGCAGAGUGCUUCACCUGGGAGGGCUGGAGCCCGCCCUCAUUUCCAAAAGCAGCCUUCAGGAGCAGGGACCCCAUCAGCCACUCUGUCACAGUCGACGGAUGGCCAUUAGCUCUUUGGGCAAAUCCUUCUUGAGUUUCCACAAUAUGCCAAGCACUGAACCAGGCCUAGAGUUUACGAUGAUGAAUAAGCCAGCAAGGACACUGACCACAUGGAGCUCCAUCUUCCAGUGGAAAGAAGCUUCUAAACAGGUCCCCCAGCACAUAGAUGUAUAUUCUAGUUGUAGAUCCUUCUAGUUGUGGCAUGUGGGCCGCCACCUCAGCAUGGCCUGAUGAGCGGUGCCCUGUCUGCGCCCAGGAUCUGAACUGGUGAAACCCUGGGCUGCCAAAGCGGAGCACACGAACCUAACCACUCGGCCACGGGGCCAGCCCUUAAACUAAACAUUUUUUUAAACAAUCUAUUUGGUAUUUGGAGUUUUUGAAUUUGACUUCUAGCAAAGGAAGAAAAACAGAGGAAUGUCAUUAAAAAAUAAUUCUGAAAAUUUUUAGGUCUGC
rnacentral:lncRNA from 1 species